GCCACCGCACCACGGCUUUGCGCUGCUCUUCAGGGGCAGCUCCAAGCGCGGCCCCAGCGGGCACCGGCACGGCCCUCCGGCGCCAGUCCCCCCAGGACGGACGUCCGCCUCUAGUUUUCAGCCUGGACUUUUAUAGCCAAUUCCCAACCCCGAAAGGCUGCUGCAAACAUCUGAGCACAAGAAGUAAGUCCUUGAUUUCAGCAUACCUUGUGUAUGAAGAAGAUGGAGAUCGUGUUUAUCAGAUUGCCAUAUAGCGUUCCUUCCACCUCUGCCUCCUUUUCAGGAGUGCAGAUUCCUACACAUGACCAGUCUUCAGUAGUGAACAAAAAUGGCAUCUAAAUCCCAAGUGACACUCUUAAGUACUUGGCAGCAGAAGGGCUCUUCUGAGGAAGAUUAAGUUAAUGGAAGCAUUUGGGUAACAUCUGCAUGACUCUUCAUCCUGGUAAGGCCAACUCACACUGCAGCAACACGUGAUGGAGGAUUUCUUCGAUUAUCACUUAAGAACAAAACUGGCUGAAGUUCCUUUUCAAGUGCUCAUCAGGCUGUGAUA